rnacentral:lncRNA from 1 species
AAACCACCUGCCGGUGACAUCGUCUCCUUCUGAGAUCUGAGGACAUGAACACCCAACCACCUGCCGGUGACAUCGUCCCCUUCUGAGAUCUGAGGACAUGGAUACCCAACCACCUGCCGGUGACAUCGUCUCCUUCUGAGAUCUGAGGACAUGGACACCCAACCUGCUGCUGGUGACAUCGUUCCCUUCUGAGAUCUGAGGACAUGGACACCAAACCACCUGCCAGUGACAUCGUCUCCUUCUGAGAUCUGAGGACAUGGACACCCAACCACCUGCCGGUGACAUCGUCUCCU